GCUGGAAUUGUAUGAUUGUGAAGACAUCGCGAACCUUAAAGGUUGAGAAGUGAACGGAUUAUACGGCGAACUGAGACGACGUGAAAAAGGGGAUUGGAAGCGGCAUUGAUGUGAGUACUAAGAGCCAGUCGAAAGUGCCCUGUAUAUUGACCUGGCGUUGUGUAGAUCUCUCCAGGAGGAGGAGGGCGGCCCUACCCCUAAUAUAGCGUGGUGGGAGAGCCGAAGGAAUACUUAUUGAAGUAGUCACAACGACGACAUCACUAGCUAGGCCGCAUAUUCCAUCGCCAGAUCCGAACCAAGCGAAGUGAAGGAAGACGGGUGUCCUUUUCGUACACUGAGUGUGGUGGGUGAGUCUUCGUGCUGUGAAAACCUAUAAUUUUGACGUGGUGUUGUAUAUUGCUGUGGGCUGCUGUGUAUUGCCGUGUGUCCUGUCAGAUAAACCCCCGCCUUCACGCACUUCGUCGCGGGAGGACAAGGAGACUGCUGGUCCUAGCCUAGUUCAGUACAGUAUAUGUUGUGAGCGUGCUUCAGAUCUCCGGAGAUAGCACGGUACGCUGUGUCCAGCCCAGAGGUGAAAGCCAUCCAAAGCAGAGUAACUGUGCUUUGUGUCCAAGUUGAUACCUGUGGAGAGGAAAGGAAAGAGAGAGUGAGUAACACAAGGAGAACCAGAGGGAACCUGUACUUACAGUACGCUGUGUUCAGCCCAGAGGUGAGAGCAAAACCAAGCCGAAUUAACUGUGCCUUUGUGUCCCAGCCGUUGCCUGUGGAGGAAGAGAAAGAGAGUGAGCACCCCGAGAACGAACUGUGUGAACCAGUACUUACCGUGAGCUGUAUUCAGCGAAGAGGAGGAAGAAGGAGGGCGCUACGGAUACCUAAGACUCAGGCCGGGGCCCGAGUCCCACGCCCCGGAUCCCCGUGGCCCCCUUGCUCCCUGACCUCUUCCCGGCCAUAGCCCAUCUGGAGGGCCGAGUCAGAGUUUAGUUUUAAUUGCCCUUUCCCUAUUCCCCAAGCUAUUUUUAAAUAUUUAAAUAAAGAUUGUUUUAUCACUUACUUGUUCUCGUGU
ensembl:lncRNA